rnacentral:tRNA from 1 species
GGGCUAUAGCUCAGCUUGGUGGAGCACCUCGUUUACACAAGUAAAGGGAACCUUUUGAAUCACUUUGGGAUUGCUU